rnacentral:sRNA from 1 species
UACACGAUGAGAAGUGGAAGCCACGUCA